rnacentral:rRNA from 1 species
UACGUAGGGGGCGAGCGUUGUCCGAAUUCACUGGGCGUAAAGCGCGCGUAGGCGGGUUUUUAAGUUGGGGGUGAAAUGCCGAGGCUCAACCUCGGAACUGCCUCCAAAACUGGAAGCCUUGAGGCUUGGAGAGGGAAGUGGAAUUCCUGGUGUAGCGGUGAAAUGCGUAGAUAUCAGGAGGAACACCCAUGGCGAAGGCAGCUUCCUGGUCAUGUCCUGACGCUGAGGUGCGAAAGCUAGGGGAGCGAACGGG